CAAUAGCGUAUAUUAAAGUUGUUGCAGUUAAAAAGCUCGUAGUUGAACUUCUGACUAUUGCGUAAGCCGGAUUCGUUCGCUCUCGUGAUAGUCAUCCGCUUGGGAACUCCGUUCGAACUUAACUGUUUGGCGGAAGGAACAGGCAUUUUACUUUGAAAAAUUAGAGUGUUCAAGGCAGGCUAUAGCCCUGAAUACACAAGCAUGGAAUAAUGAAAUAGGACUGGUUCCAUUUUAUUGGUUAUUGGACUAGAAAUGAUUAACAGGGACAGUCAGGGGCACUCGUAUUCCGCCGAGAGAGGUGAAAUUCUCAGACCAGCGGAAGACGAACCACUGCGAAAGCAUUUGCCAGGGAUGUUUUCACUGAUCAAGAACGAAAGUUAGGGGAUCGAAGAUGAUUAGAUACCGU
rnacentral:rRNA from 1 species